CUUAUUAUUAAAAUGCUAUUCCAUUACAGUGUUUGGUCAACUCAAACAUCUUGUAUCUUUGCAGUUAAUAUCUCCUGCGUGAAUCUUCUGACUGCUUCUGUAGAAUGGAGUCCCAUUGCCCCAGCUCCCAACAAACUCCCUCUGCUGCCCUAGAUAUGAAUGUUUUAAAUUACCAUGCAAAAUCAGGAAAUUGGAAAUCAUCAAUUAAUGGCAUAUUACUUCUCAAGUGAGAGUUUUAAUUUACAGAAAAUAUCGUCUUGCCCUUACCGUGUAUUAGCUUAUUGCGGACCAUUAGCUCCAGCAGAACAUCUUUUGAAGACAGAGCACUGAAUGCAUUGUCCAGAAUACACUGACUAGCUAUUGGGAUUGGCUUCAGUGAGAAAUGCAGAUCAUUCUCUGUAUAAACCUGUGGAGUCUUUAAAUGGGGAUUCCAUAGACCUUAAGCCCUGGACCCCUGUGCUCUCAUUGUCCCCCUCCAGAGGGCGCCUGGUGGUCGUCAUCAUCAUCAUCGUCAUCAUCAUCAUCAUCCAGACCAGUCUUAAAACACCCAGAAGAGAAAAGCCUUUAGGAGGUGAGU